GCGCCUGUAGCUCAGUGGUUAGAGCACUUGUUUCCUAAGUUGAAUGUCGCAGGUUCGACCCUCACCUGGCGCG
rfam:Nicotiana sylvestris Nsyl_contig167051, whole genome shotgun sequence.